GGGGCCCACCUCCCACCCGUGUUGCCCGAACCUAUGUUGCCUCGGCGGGCCCCGCGCCCGCCGACGGCCCCCCUGAACGCUGUCUGAAGUUGCAGUCUGAGACCUAUAACGAAAUUAGUUAAAACUUUCAACAACGGAUCUCUUGGUUCCGGCAUCGAUGAAGAACGCAGCGAAAUGCGAUAACUAAUGUGAAUUGCAGAAUUCAGUGAAUCAUCGAGUCUUUGAACGCACAUUGCGCCCUCUGGUAUUCCGGAGGGCAUGCCUGUCCGAGCGUCAUUGCUGCCCUCAAGCCCGGCUUGUGUGUUGGGCCCCGUCCCCCCCGCCGGGGGGACGGGCCCGAAAGGCAGCGGCGGCACCGCGUCCGGUCCUCGAGCGUAUGGGGCUUCGUCACCCGCUCUAGUAGGCCCGGCCGGCGCCAGCCGACCCCCAACCUUUAAUUAUCUCAGGUGACCUCGGAUCAGGUAGGGAUACCCGCUGAACUUAAGCAUAUCAAUAAGAGGAGGUUACCGAGUGCGGGCCCUCGGGGCCCAACCUCCACCGUGUUGCCGAACUAUUGCCCGGCGGGCCGCGCCCGCCGACGCCCCCCUGAACGCUUCUGAAGUUGCAUUCUGAGACCUAUCAGAAAUUAGUUAAAACUUUCAACAACGGACUUGGUUCCGCUCGAUAAAAAGCACGCAUGCGAUACUAAGUGAAUUGCAAAAGUCACUGAAUCACAGUCUUGA
rnacentral:rRNA from 1 species